rnacentral:rRNA from 1 species
GACGAACGUUGGCGGCGUGCUUAACACAUGCAAGUCGAACGGAAAGGCCCUGCUUUUGUGGGGUGCUCGAGUGGCGAACGGGUGAGUAACACGUGAGUAACCUGCCCUUGACUUUGGGAUAACUUCAGGAAACUGGGGCUAAUACCGGAUAGGAGCUCCUGCUGCAUGGUGGGGGUUGGAAAGUUUCGGCGGUUGGGGAUGGACUCGCGGCUUAUCAGCUUGUUAGUGGGGUAGUGGCUUACCAAGGCUUUGACGGGUAGCCGGCCUGAGAGGGUGACCGGCCACAUUGGGACUGAGAUACGGCCCAGACUCCUACGGGAGGCAGCAGUGGGGAAUAUUGCACAAUGGGCGGAAGCCUGAUGCAGCAACGCCGCGUGCGGGAUGACGGCCUUCGGGUUGUAAACCGCUUUCGCCUGUGACGAAGCGUGAGUGACGGUAAUGGGUAAAGAAGCACCGGCUAACUACGUGCCAGCAGCCGCGGUGAUACGUAGGGUGCGAGCGUUGUCCGGAUUUAUUGGGCGUAAAGGGCUCGUAGGUGGUUGAUCGCGUCGGAAGUGUAAUCUUGGGGCUUAACCCUGAGCGUGCUUUCGAUACGGGUUGACUUGAGGAAGGUAGGGGAGAAUGGAAUUCCUGGUGGAGCGGUGGAAUGCGCAGAUAUCAGGAGGAACACCAGUGGCGAAGGCGGUUCUCUGGGCCUUUCCUGACGCUGAGGAGCGAAAGCGUGGGGAGCGAACAGGCUUAGAUACCCUGGUAGUCCACGCUGUAAACGGUGGGUACUAGGUGUGGGGUCCAUUCCACGGGUUCCGUGCCGUAGCUAACGCUUUAAGUACCCCGCCUGGGGAGUACGGCCGCAAGGCUAAAACUCAAAGGAAUUGACGGGGCCCCGCACAAGCGGCGGAGCAUGCGGAUUAAUUCGAUGCAACGCGUAGAACCUUACCUGGGUUUGACAUGGAUCGGGAGUGCUCAGAGAUGGGUGUGCCUCUUUUGGGGUCGGUUCACAGGUGGUGCAUGGCUGUCGUCAGCUCGUGUCGUGAGAUGUUGGGUUAAGUCCCGCAACGAGCGCAACCCUUGUUCACUGUUGCCAGCACGUUAUGGUGGGGACUCAGUGGAGACCGCCGGGGUCAACUCGGAGGAAGGUGGGGAUGACGUCAAGUCAUCAUGCCCCUUAUGUCCAGGGCUUCACGCAUGCUACAAUGGCUGGUACAGAGAGUGGCGAGCCUGUGAGGGUGAGCGAAUCUCGGAAAGCCGGUCUCAGUUCGGAUUGGGGUCUGCAACUCGACCUCAUGAAGUCGGAGUCGCUAGUAAUCGCAGAUCAGCAACGCUGCGGUGAAUACGUUCCCGGG